AGCCACCAUCUAAAAGUAUGCAUUGGAUAAAUCUCGCAUUAUGACUAGCCAGCAAAUGACCACAAUGAAGUAAGCCAGCCUAAGUUACUUAUAGCUGACCGUCUCAAAUCAAGAAGGUCAAUAGGUAGUUCCCGUCAAGAAUCGAACUUGUACUCUUGUGGUUAUCAAGUCAACAGUAUGAUCAACUUGGCUGAGGUUGCCCCAAAAGUUCUUACUUUAUAGUGGAUGCAUGUGAUCAACAAAUCAAAGUUUUCAGCUGAAAGCAAUGUUCUAGAUUUGAGAUAUAUGUAUUUGGGUGAAAGGAACCGGCACUGAACCACUGAUGUCGCUCUCCCCAUGAAUAAUUUAAAACCAUAAUUGUUAACCUUAUUGCCCAAACUUUGACGAGGCUUCUUGGCAGAGUGUGAAAUGUCAAUGCCGUGUAACUGUAA